rnacentral:lncRNA from 1 species
GGGUGGGCUUUGAAACCCUCCUCCUAGCCACACGGCAUCCAGUCGGCUCCUGGAUUCCUUUGGAUGAAGGAGUUGCCUUGGUCAUGGUGUCUGUUCACACCAGUGGAAACCCUAAUUCAGACAGUAACCUAGCAGCCUCCCCUGACUCUGAACAACAUGAUGGGCUGAAAGAUAAUGUCUUUCUCACUGGAGGUCUUGGCGACCUCCAAACCCAGCUGAAUAGGGAGACAGGCACUUGGUCUGGAGCAAAGCCUGUGAGCCAAAGGUGUGUGUGCUGGUCCGAGGAUGGUGUCUUCCGACCUAGGUGCAGUCUAUUGUCCUGCCACAUCUGCAGCUUCCUGCAAGAAGCCACUACCUGCUGAGCAGCUGAGCUUGUCUUCCUGACGAGAUGCUGACAAACCGAGGAGAUCCUGGCAAAGAAGGGGAUGGAUUCACUACCCCCCCCUUAAAAAUUCAGACUCAAGAAUUAAAGUUGAACCUUGAUCAGA